CAGAACCUGACUAUGCUGGCACCCUGAUCUCAGUCUAGAUGAAUCUGCAGAAGUCCCAGGGAUACCUUGGUCAUAAGAAGUCUCAGGUACAAGUUAUCCAAGAUGGAACAGGAGUUCAAGAGCACAUCUAUUUACUGGACAAAAUAAAGCUCCAUGGUAAGACAGUUUGCAUCUGACAGUCCACUUGUGGCCAUUCCCCCACAUCCCACUCUCUCGAUGAGAACUGAGACCUUCAAUUCAGUGGUACCUGGGCUCAGGAACAGCCUGAAGGUAAGAGCUCUGCCCCACCACCUUGGACAAUGAGGACAUUUAAAGAGACUUAGUGGACCAAGCAUGAUGCAGAGGAAGAAAUAUGGGCUCAGACUUCUGUGCUGAGAAGCUGAGAAGCAGAACAAAAGGAAGGAAAUUUCCCCCAGGUUCUGAAAUAGUCAAGCUGUCACUCAAUAAGAUGAGAGAUUGGGCAGUCACAGAGAAAACAGAGAUUUGGCCAGGGAUUUUGCCCGUGGAAUCACAAUCUGGAAAUGUUUCUUUCUGGCUGCCCUGGAAGUUCACCAUUUCCAAGCUGCAUGAGAAGCUGAAUGGGCUCUUUCUCCAAUGGAUUGAUCAUUGUGCCCAAGCUAAUUACUGCCUUAAUACCCUACCUCCUGCAGAUGGCAAAUUGGGCACAGAUAAGACAAGUGGCUGGUCCAAAACCACAGGCUGAGUCAGUGGCAGGGAUGGGAGUAAGGUUGAGUAACCAGUGGCCCUUCCUUUUGUUACCCUGGCCAAGAAGCAAGCCCUGCCAGAGCAGCUGCCCUUCCCUGGUGCACUGAGAUGGGCUGGGAUGACAUAGUUGAGCCCUGCUCCACCCUCUGCUCCCUAGCUUCCCAGGUGAGCUGUGGCCUGCAGAUCUGCUGUGCUGGGAGAAUCUGCUUGCUGCAGGAUAAUAUUAGCUCACUUUUAUUGCCAUGGGCUGGGCGCCCUCCGGCAGCUUGGCUGUAAACCUUUGAUCCACUGGGCUCCAGGAGCUGCAGAUUUUGACUGUGUGCUCAGCCCUAGACUCCCCACACACUGCAUGGGGCAGGCAGAGAAAGGAGGGGCCCACAGGCAGAAAUUCAACUCCUCUGCAGCCACCUCAAAAAACAGCAGCACUCUGAGGCAGUCAGGUUAGAAGGGGAGAGGGACACUGUUUCACCAUCGUGUUCUCCAAGACCCACCAGUGAGUGUUCCCCAGACCCAGAUGCUUGUAUACCACGCUCAUGAUUUGCCCCAUAAUAACUGCAUUAUUUAUUUUGUAUUUUUAUUUAAAUUAAUUCACCAUGGAUGGUAAAACUCAAAUUUAUUUUGAAAGAAGUUUCAGAAUACUUCCACAAAUAGAAAACUAAUACCACUUGCUUUUUUGUGGGAAUUGAACAAUGAGAACACAUGGACACAGGAAGGGGAAC
rnacentral:lncRNA from 1 species